rfam:Amazona aestiva scaffold_242, whole genome shotgun sequence.
GUCCUUACCUGGCGGGGAGACACCAUGAUCAGGCAGAUUGUUUUCUCAGGGUGAGCGUCAUCNCCUGCACUCCAGAUGUGCUGACCCCUGUGAUUUCCCCAAAUGUGGGAAACUUGUCUGCAUAGUUUGUGGUACUGGGGACUGCAUUUGUGCUUUCCCCUG